rnacentral:rRNA from 1 species
GAUGAACGCUGGCGGCGUGCCUAAUACAUGCAAGUCGAGCGAACGGACGAGAAGCUUGCUUCUCUGAUGUUAGCGGCGGACGGGUGAGUAACACGUGGAUAACCUACCUAUAAGACUGGGAUAACUUCGGGAAACCGGAGCUAAUACCGGAUAAUAUUUUGAACCGCAUGGUUCAAAAGUGAAAGACGGUCUUGCUGUCACUUAUAGAUGGAUCCGCGCUGCAUUAGCUAGUUGGUAAGGUAACGGCUUACCAAGGCAACGAUGCAUAGCCGACCUGAGAGGGUGAUCGGCCACACUGGAACUGAGACACGGUCCAGACUCCUACGGGAGGCAGCAGUAGGGAAUCUUCCGCAAUGGGCGAAAGCCUGACGGAGCAACGCCGCGUGAGUGAUGAAGGUCUUCGGAUCGUNAAACUCUGUUAUUAGGGAAGAACAUAUGUGUAAGUAACUGUGCACAUCUUGACGGUACCUAAUCAGAAAGCCACGGCUAACUACGUGCCAGCAGCCGCGGUAAUACGUAGGUGGCAAGCGUUAUCCGGAAUUAUUGGGCGUAAAGCGCGCGUAGCGGUUUUUUAGUCUGAUGUGAAAGCCCACGGCUCAACCGUGGAGGGUCAUUGGAAACUGGAAAACUUGAGUGCAGAAGAGGAAAGUGGAAUUCCAUGUGUAGCGGUGAAAUGCGCAGAGAUAUGGAGGAACACCAGUGGCGAAGGCGACUUUCUGGUCUGUAACUGACGCUGAUGUGCGAAAGCGUGGGGAUCAAACAGGAUUAGAUACCCUGGUAGUCCACGCCGUAAACGAUGAGUGCUAAGUGUUAGGGGGUUUCCGCCCCUUAGUGCUGCAGCUAACGCAUUAAGCACUCCGCCUGGGGAGUACGACCGCAAGGUUGAAACUCAAAGGAAUUGACGGGGACCCGCACAAGCGGUGGAGCAUGUGGUUUAAUUCGAAGCAACGCGAAGAACCUUACCAAAUCUUGACAUCCUUUGACAACUCUAGAGAUAGAGCCUUCCCCUUCGGGGGACAAAGUGACAGGUGGUGCAUGGUUGUCGUCAGCUCGUGUCGUGAGAUGUUGGGUUAAGUCCCGCAACGAGCGCAACCCUUAAGCUUAGUUGCCAUCAUUAAGUUGGGCACUCUAAGUUGACUGCCGGUGACAAACCGGAGGAAGGUGGGGAUGACGUCAAAUCAUCAUGCCCCUUAUGAUUUGGGCUACACACGUGCUACAAUGGACAAUACAAAGGGCAGCGAAACCGCGAGGUCAAGCAAAUCCCAUAAAGUUGUUCUCAGUUCGGAUUGUAGUCUGCAACUCGACUACAUGAAGCUGGAAUCGCUAGUAAUCGUAGAUCAGCAUGCUACGGUGAAUACGUUCCCGGGUCU